UACGGAGGGGGCGAGCGUUAUUCGGAAUUAUUGGGCGUAAAGAGCUCGUAGGCGGUUUGUCGCGUCUGCUGUGAAAACCCGAGGCUCAACCUCGGGCCUGCAGUGGGUACGGGCAGACUAGAGUGCGGUAGGGGAGAUUGGAAUUCCUGGUGUAGCGGUGGAAUGCGCAGAUAUCAGGAGGAACACCAAUGGCGAAGGCAGAUCUCUGGGCCGUAACUGACGCUGAGGAGCGAAAGCGUGGGGAGCGAACAGG
rnacentral:rRNA from 1 species